AAGUUGUUGCGGUUAAAAAGCUCGUAGUUGGAUCUGUGUUCCUCGCUGUCGGUUCACCGUUUUGUCGGUGUUUAACUGACAUGACGUGGUACGUCCUGCCGGUUGGUGACGUGUCAUCUCUUCACGGGGGUGAUGCUGUUGCCAGUUCCAAUCCUGUCGCGGUGCUCUUCACCGAGUGUCGAGGCGGGCCGGCACGUUUACCUUGAACAAAUUUGAGUGCUUAAAGCAGGCUUAUAUUGCCGGAAAACUGUGUGCAUGGAAUAAUAUAAUAGGACCGCGGUUCUAUUUUGUUGGUUUUCAGAAUCCGAGGUAAUGAUUAAUAGGAACUGACGGGGGCAUUAGUAUUGCGACGUUAGAGGUGAAAUUCUUGGAUCGUCGCAAGACUAACUAGAGCGAAAGCAUUUGCCAAGGAUGCUUCCAUUAAUCAAGAACGAAAGUUAGAGGUUCGAAGGCGAUCAGAUACCGCCCUAGUUCUAACCAUAAACUAUGCCAGCCAGCGAUCCGUCGAUGUUCUUUUAUGACUCGACCGGCAGCUUCCGGGAAACUAAAGCAUUUGGGUUCCGGGGGAAGUAUGGUUGCAAAGCUGAAACUUAAAGGAAUUGACGGAAAGGCACCACCAGGAGUGGAGCCUGCGGCUUAAUUUGACUCAACACGGGAAAUCUCACCAGGCCAGAACACCAGGUGGAUUGACAGAUUGAGAGCUCUUUCUUGAUUUGGUGGG
rnacentral:rRNA from 1 species